rnacentral:rRNA from 1 species
UGCCAGCCGCCGCGGUAAUACGGAGGGGGUUAGCGUUGUUCGGAAUUACUGGGCGUAAAGCGCACGUAGGCGGAUUAGAAAGUUAGAGGUGAAAUCCCGGGGCUCAACCCAGGAACUGCAUUUAAAACUAGUGAUCUAGAAUUUGGUAGGGGCCAGUAGAAUUUCCAGUGUAGAGGUGAAAUUCGUAGAUAUUGGAAAGAAUACCAGUGGCGAAGGCGACUGGCUGGGCCAUUUUUGACGCUGAGAUACGAAAGCGUGGGUAGCAAACAGGAUUAGAUA